AGUGUCUGGUGGGUAGUUUGACUGGGGCGGUCUCCUCCUAAAGAGUAACGGAGGAGCACGAAGGUUGGCUAAUCCUGGUCGGACAUCAGGAGGUUAGUGCAAUGGCAUAAGCCAGCUUGACUGCGAGCGUGACGGCGCGAGCAGGUGCGAAAGCAGGUCAUAGUGAUCCGGUGGUUCUGAAUGGAAGGGCCAUCGCUCAACGGAUAAAAGGUACUCCGGGGAUAACAGGCUGAUACCGCCCAAGAGUUCAUAUCGACGGCGGUGUUUGGCACCUCGAUGUCGGCUCAUCACAUCCUGGGGCUGAAGUAGGUCCCAAGGGUAUGGCUGUUCGCCAUUUAAAGUGGUACGCGAGCUGGGUUUAGAACGUCGUGAGACAGUUCGGUCCCUAUCUGCCGUGGGCGCUGGAGAACUGAGGGGGGCUGCUCCUAGUACGA
rnacentral:rRNA from 1 species